rnacentral:lncRNA from 1 species
UACUUCUUAGUUAAGUCAGACCCACCGUUCAUUAGUAUGUGCAAAGCUAUCAUUAGGUCCCUCACUUAACAGUUAUUGGGCCCAAACUCAUCUUUACUCCAGAGCAACUCUUUGCAAAUAGAGUGGUUGAGUCUUCCUGAUGCAACGAAACUACUGUAACCAUCCGAGAACAAUCAACACAAGUAGGAUACCCACACAUCUACAA